UUCCCUUCCCGGAUUGGCAGCGUCCACCGCCGCUCCAGCCAUCCGCCGCCCAAAUCGAGCACAGCCGCCGCAAAACCGAGCCUGCUUCUCCCCUCCUCCGCCGCUGCGGUCGACCCCGAUCGAUGGAGAUGCGGAGAUACCACCGAGUCCUACGAUCGGUGGCUGCCCCUGCGCUGCUCCUGCUCCUGCUACUCACCCUCGUCCUACCGUUUAUUCAGACCCAGAUGCAGAGCGCACGGGAGAAGGCUGCCGACGAGCUGCCGUUGGACGGAGGCAUCGUCGACACGCCGGGGGCAGAGAACGACCUCAGGAUCGUCGACCUCGCCCGCUUCGCCGUCUCCGAGCACAAGAACAGGACCAACGCACUGCUGGAGUUCGAGAAAGUGGUGAAGCUGAAGCAGCAAGUUGUUGCUGGCAUGAUGUAUUACAUUACGAUUCAGGUCAAUGAGGGCGGGGCAAAGAAGAUGUAUGAAGCCAAGGUGUGGGAGCAGCCAUGGAUGGAUUUCAAGAAGCUCAUGGAGUUCAGGCCGGCGGAGGGCGCCUCUGCGAGCGCUUAAGGCGGGUCGGUCUCAGCUGUUUAAGGAUCUGCAGAUAUGGUGUGGAUAUAGCUAUCUAUCUAUGGGACAUGUGCUCUCUUGUGGGUCAGAGGGGAUUAUGGUCGGUGCUGCUGACAGUUUUGGACCCGGUCGAACCUUUAGAAAAGCGCGCUGCGACAGGGAGGCUGACAUGACGGCGCAGGCAGCAAGGGGCGACGGCACGGCUGGACUGGAAUCCUGUACCAAGGAAGGAGGCUGGCGGUGCAGCCGCGCACUGCAUGAAGUGUUGUUCUGUAUGUUGGGCUCCUGAAUUGAGCGCAGUGCUGCUGAAUCUGUGUGCCUAGCAUCUGGCACUUAUUGGUUGCUGCAGUUUGGAUGAUGUAUGCAGUGUGCGGAUGAGCCGAGGUGCGUCCAGAUCUGAAGACCGGCUCAGGGGCUACUAACGAGGUGACUAACAAUGUCCCGGCUAGGGAGCCUCUCAUCAUGUUGACUCCCGGCCUAGUGGACCGGGCUGAAGACCCGUUGUCAUUUCGAAACUGGGCCCAUCGGGCGGCCCAUGACGUAUGAUCAGAAGGUUCCAGAAGACUUGCAUACACUACAAGAUGCUGGUACCGUGGAGGACUCUAACUCCUCGCACAUAGCCGACUAGGAUCCAUCACUUGUCUUUGGGGUUCCAACGCCCCAAUGCUGCCCGCCACGGGUCUCAAACACAAGUCGUCGUCACCAGCACCGGUGGGGGUUGGUUUUGCAACACUUGUCACUGCUGGCGAAAAAGGGGUGGGGUGGGCAGCCAUGGCCACAACAGAAUAGAAGAAACAAAAGUGGGCGGUGGCCAUGGCCAGCCAGCACAGCCUGUCGCCGGUGGAGGAAGGCUAGUAUCUACAAAGAGGAAGAGGGGAGAGAGCGGUGCUCACGAUGCAUUGGAGUGCACUCGUGCGCGAGCAAAAGAUUGAACGGACAUUGUUCAUCUCCGAAGAGAUAAGGUAGAAGGAGAGAUGAGAUGGUCGUUCGAUGGUGGAUCCAUGUGCAAACGAGCAAAGUAUAGAUGUUGCUGCCCUGUUUUGUUACAUACAAAAAAAUAAUUAAAACAAUGGAAAUGUAUAGAUGUUACCUCCAAAUAUUUAGUCCACACAUGGUUGCUAUCAAUGGAUAGCUUAUGAUUGACCCAAUCCCAACCAAAACCGCUUUGAGAAAGGACCUUGUUAAUGAUUUCAAAUUGAUUGUCAAAAGUCCUAAACCUUCCUAA